rnacentral:rRNA from 1 species
AAAUUGAAGAGUUUGAUCAUGGCUCAGAUUGAACGCUGGCGGCAGGCCUAACACAUGCAAGUCGAACGGUAACAGGAAGCAGCUUGCUGUUUUGCUGACGAGUGGCGGACGGGUGAGUAAUGUCUGGGAAACUGCCUGAUGGAGGGGGAUAACUACUGGAAACGGUAGCUAAUACCGCAUAAUGUCGCAAGACCAAAGAGGGGGACCUUCGGGCCUCUUGCCAUCGGAUGUGCCCAGAUGGGAUUAGCUGGUAGGUGGGGUAAAGGCUCACCUAGGCGACGAUCCCUAGCUGGUCUGAGAGGAUGACCAGCCACACUGGAACUGAGACACGGUCCAGACUCCUACGGGAGGCAGCAGUGGGGAAUAUUGCACAAUGGGCGCAAGCCUGAUGCAGCCAUGCCGCGUGUAUGAAGAAGGCCUUCGGGUUGUAAAGUACUUUCAGCGGGGAGGAAGGGAGUAAAGUUAAUACCUUUGCUCAUUGACGUUACCCGCAGAAGAAGCACCGGCUAACUCCGUGCCAGCAGCCGCGGUAAUACGGAGGGUGCAAGCGUUAAUCGGAAUUACUGGGCGUAAAGCGCACGCAGGCGGUUUGUUAAGUCAGAUGUGAAAUCCCCGGGCUCAACCUGGGAACUGCAUCUGAUACUGGCAAGCUUGAGUCUCGUAGAGGGGGGUAGAAUUCCAGGUGUAGCGGUGAAAUGCGUAGAGAUCUGGAGGAAUACCGGUGGCGAAGGCGGCCCCCUGGACGAAGACUGACGCUCAGGUGCGAAAGCGUGGGGAGCAAACAGGAUUAGAUACCCUGGUAGUCCACGCCGUAAACGAUGUCGACUUGGAGGUUGUGCCCUUGAGGCGUGGCUUCCGGAGCUAACGCGUUAAGUCGACCGCCUGGGGAGUACGGCCGCAAGGUUAAAACUCAAAUGAAUUGACGGGGGCCCGCACAAGCGGUGGAGCAUGUGGUUUAAUUCGAUGCAACGCGAAGAACCUUACCUGGUCUUGACAUCCACGGAAGUUUUCAGAGAUGAGAAUGUGCCUUCGGGAACCGUGAGACAGGUGCUGCAUGGCUGUCGUCAGCUCGUGUUGUGAAAUGUUGGGUUAAGUCCCGCAACGAGCGCAACCCUUAUCCUUUGUUGCCAGCGGUCCGGCCGGGAACUCAAAGGAGACUGCCAGUGAUAAACUGGAGGAAGGUGGGGAUGACGUCAAGUCAUCAUGGCCCUUACGACCAGGGCUACACACGUGCUACAAUGGCGCAUACAAAGAGAAGCGACCUCGCGAGAGCAAGCGGACCUCAUAAAGUGCGUCGUAGUCCGGAUUGGAGUCUGCAACUCGACUCCAUGAAGUCGGAAUCGCUAGUAAUCGUGGAUCAGAAUGCCACGGUGAAUACGUUCCCGGGCCUUGUACACACCGCCCGUCACACCAUGGGAGUGGGUUGCAAAAGAAGUAGGUAGCUUAACCUUCGGGAGGGCGCUUACCACUUUGUGAUUCAUGACUGGGGUGAAGUCGUAACAAGGUAACCGUAGGGGAACCUGCGGUUGGAUCACCUCCUUA